UGGGGAAUAUUGGACAAUGGGCGAAAGCCUGAUCCAGCAAUGCCGCGUGAGUGAUGAAGGCCCUCGGGUUGUAAAGCUCUGUCGGGAGGGACGAAAAAGCGCGGGUAACGCCGUGACUUGACGGUACCUCCAAAGGAAGCACCGGCUAACUCUGUGCCAGCAGCCGCGGUAAUACAGAGGGUGCAAGCGUUGUUCGGAAUUACUGGGCGUAAAGCGCGUGUAGGCUGCGACGUAAGUCAGGUGUGAAAGCCCUCAGCUUAACUGAGGAAGUGCACUUGAUACUGCGUCGCUUGAGUGUCGGAGGGGGUGGCGGAAUUCCCGGUGUAGAGGUGAAAUUCGUAGAUAUCGGGAGGAACACCUGUGGCGAAGGCGGCCACCUGGACGACAACUGACGCUGAGACGCGAAAGCGUGGGUAGCAAAC
rnacentral:rRNA from 1 species